GUCGGGUUGUUCGUAUUUAUUAAUUUUAAAAACAAUUCCCAAAUAAUUCGCGGCAAAAGGAUUGGAUGCCCUAGACUUCCUUCUUCCUUAAACCCCAACAUUGAAAAUUCGAGGGAAGCUUCAUCUCGUCAAGAACGAGUUCGAGUCUCGAAUGGCAAUUUCGGUUUGAGACGUUAGGGUUUCUCUUCGAUCCUCCAUUGCAAAUACAAUGUUCGGAGCUCAAACGUCCUCCUCCGCCUUCGGCACUCCACAAUCAACUCCGGCAUUUGGCACUCCUCAAUCAACUCCGGCAUUUGGCACACCGGCGUCCACUCCUGCCUUUGGAACUCCAUCGGCGUCUCCUGCAUUUGGCAAUCUUUCCUCGACUCCUGCCUUCGGAACUCCAUCUACGUCGUCGUUUGCUACCGGCUUCGGCUCCUCUCUUUUCUCUACUCCAUUCUCUUCUCAGCCUUCACAACAGCAGCAGCAGUUGCAGCAAUCGACGCUGUUUCCGCAAUCAUCCGCUACAGGAUUCGGUUUCCAGACUCCGUUUGCAGCGCCUCAGUCCACUCCAUUUCCAAAUGCUCAACUGACCACUCAGAUGGCCCCGGUCGCACCGCUUCCUUUCUCCCUGGCAGAUCGAGAUAUUCAAGCAAUUGUUGAGGCUUACAAGGACGACGCAGGAAACCCUAAGUAUGCUUUCAAGCAUUUGUUGUUCAGUGUAACUGAUCCUCAGUAUAGGGCGAAGCCUCCUGGUGUAUCGGAUAUAAUGUGGGCUGAGGCAAUGGCAAAGCUCGAAGGCAUGGAAAGUGCUGAUAGAGAGCGAUUGUGGCCGCAGCUUGUUCAAGGUUUUAAGGAUUUAUCUCAGCGCUUGAAGAUUCAAGAUGAAGUCAUUCUCUCUGAUUCUGAGAGACUACGCAUGACCCAAAGCAAUGUCAAAAUGCUUCAGAGGCAUUUUUUAGCCGAUACUCUACCUUGGGUACAAAGAUUGAAACAGAAGGAGCAAGGUCUGCAAAGGCGUCUUUUGAGAGUUAUGAGAAUUGUGGAGGCACUAGAAAGUAAAGGUUGCCGAGUGCCUGUAGUGAAAGGAGAGGCUGAAUUGGCAGAGAAGUUAGCUUUGAUAACGAGGCAGUUGAAGGGCUCUGGGGCAGAACUUUCAAAGAGGGUGCAAAAUUUGCUUACAAUUACUCGCGGUCAAGCCAAUGGCUCUGGUCCUGGUAAUUCCAUCUAUCUUCAAGGAUCCGCAAAAAUACAUGAACAGAGUCUUGCCGAUAUGCAGGAGGUUUUACAGCAGCAGACGGAGGCCAUUGCUAGACUUGGAAAUGUUUUGAAGCGAGAUGUUAGAGACAUGGAAAUCAUAAUGGCUGAAGAUAAAGAGAUGGCAGAUGAUGCAAGUUAAAAGAAAUUGAGUUCCCAUUUCUAGCCAUUCUUCUCUGGAGUGUCGUUAUCAAAGUGUACUCGGCUUGAUUAUUCCGAAUGGAAAAAUUAAAAUUCGUUUUCAAUAGACUUUUAAUGUACUGCUCAAGUGUUUAAAGGCUGAGAACUGUAGUGGCCCUUAAAGUACUCAGCAUCACCUUGCAAGGCCUUGGAUUCAUCUUUCCCUUGUCAGGUGCGUGAGGUGGCCUCUCCCACUUUAAAAUCUUACCAUUUGGGGAUGUUACGUCUCUUAUUCUAAAAGCUUUUAAAGGGGAAAAUGGGUUGCGUAUAGUAUGUAGUUGUUAGGUGUUCUCAACAUUGAGAGUAACUACAAAAGGUGGGAGAGAUGAGCUGUUUCCACACACAUUAUAUGAGACUGUUUGGAAUGCUUAGUUUAUAAUUUUAGUGAAGUUUAAGUGAGUAUUAACAGUUAAGAA